rnacentral:rRNA from 1 species
AUGAACGCUAGCUACAGGCUUAACACAUGCAAGUCGAGGGGCAGCAUGAACUUAGCUUGCUAAGUUUGAUGGCGACCGGCGCACGGGUGAGUAACACGUAUCCAACCUGCCGAUGACUCGGGGAUAGCCUUUCGAAAGAAAGAUUAAUACCCGAUGGCAUAGUUCUUCCGCAUGGUGGAACUAUUAAAGAAUUUCGGUCAUCGAUGGGGAUGCGUUCCAUUAGGUUGUUGGCGGGGUAACGGCCCACCAAGCCUUCGAUGGAUAGGGGUUCUGAGAGGAAGGUCCCCCACAUUGGAACUGAGACACGGUCCAAACUCCUACGGGAGGCAGCAGUGAGGAAUAUUGGUCAAUGGACGAGAGUCUGAACCAGCCAAGUAGCGUGAAGGAUGACUGCCCUAUGGGUUGUAAACUUCUUUUAUACGGGAAUAAAGUGAGGCACGUGUGCCUUUUUGUAUGUACCGUAUGAAUAAGGAUCGGCUAACUCCGUGCCAGCAGCCGCGGUAAUACGGAGGAUCCGAGCGUUAUCCGGAUUUAUUGGGUUUAAAGGGAGCGUAGGCGGACGCUUAAGUCAGUUGUGAAAGUUUGCGGCUCAACCGUAAAAUUGCAGUUGAUACUGGGUGUCUUGAGUACAGUAGAGGCAGGCGGAAUUCGUGGUGUAGCGGUGAAAUGCUUAGAUAUCACGAAGAACUCCGAUUGCGAAGGCAGCUUGCUGGACUGUAACUGACGCUGAUGCUCGAAAGUGUGGGUAUCAAACAGGAUUAGAUACCCUGGUAGUCCACACAGUAAACGAUGAAUACUCGCUGUUUGCGAUAUACAGUAAGCGGCCAAGCGAAAGCGUUAAGUAUUCCACCUGGGGAGUACGCCGGCAACGGUGAAACUCAAAGGAAUUGACGGGGGCCCGCACAAGCAGUGGAGUAUGUGGUUUAAUUCGAAGCAACGCGAAGAACCUUACCAGGUCUUGACAUCCGAUGCAUAGCACAGAGAUGUGUGAAAUCCUUCGGGACAUCGAGACAGGUGGUGCAUGGUUGUCGUCAGCUCGUGUCGUGAGAUGUUGGGUUAAGUCCCGCAACGAGCGCAACCCCUGUUUCUAGUUGCCAGCAUGUAAAGAUGGGAACUCUAGAAAGACUGCCGUAGAUAAUACGGAGGAAGGUGGGGAUGACGUCAAAUCAGCACGGCCCUUACGUCCGGGGCUACACACGUGUUACAAUGGGGGGUACAGAAGGCAGCUACACGGCGACGUGAUGCCAAUCCCGAAAGCCUCUCUCAGUUCGGAUUGGAGUCUGCAACCCGACUCCAUGAAGCUGGAUUCGCUAGUAAUCGCGCAUCAGCCACGGCGCGGUGAAUACGUUCCCGGGCCUUGUACACACCGCCCGUCAAGCCAUGAAAGCCGGGGGUACCUGAAGUGCGUAACCGCAAGGAGCGCCCUAGGGUAAAACUGGUGAUUGGGGCU